GUUCUUGUGUGUCCAAAGACUGACAGGGUUUCAUAUAGCAUCGUCUUACCUCCGUUACAUUCGGAAGACCAGAAAUAAAAGAGAUUAAGCACACAAUCAUUACAAGAAUCUCGUGAUGCUUCAGGUAUUUCUUGAUCCAUUUCGGAAACUCAUCUUGGAGAGAAGUAAUGAUAACCUGUAACGAGAUAUUCAUGUAGCCUUAUUUGGAAGUUUUUUGAGUUAUUUGCAUAUUUAUUCAUUAUCCAUUCGUUUUAAUUGUUUGACAUGAACUUUGCUUUCUUUUCUCGUUGAAUUUCACAAUACACUUUCGUCUAGACUUCUAGAAAUUUACUUAUGCAGUAGUUACCUUUAAAUUAUAUAAAAAGAGAUUAAUGUUAAAUCGAUCAAUGAUGACUUGUUAUAAAGUAGCAAAAUUGAGACUUUUUGCUUAUAUCAGUUUUUUUUCUCAUUUAAGACUGUUUCCAAGUAACUCCAGAGACAAGACAGAUAAAAUAUCCAAGUUACCACAAUAAACAACCUUAGCUUACCUCAACAUUGGCAAACUGUGAAUCGAGACCAAAGAUAAGGAGCAUUAAGAAGAAGAGGACGGACCACACCGCUGCGUAGGGCAUUUUGGCGAGCGCUUGAGGGUAUACUGUGAACACCAGACCUGGACCUUGGAGCAAUGUUGCCAAGGGUUGAGAAGACAAUCAUCCCAGACAAAACAGACGUAAAGGAGUUGCUAUACCUGGGCAUCCAUGAGUAGUUCCCACCGAGGUCUGAAAAAGUACUGAAGACCAUCGCUAGCUCCCGGGAGUGUCAGCGCUCGCCAGAGGAAUGCGCCGAUGAGAAGGUACGGAACGGUCGCCGUCACGUACACAACCUGGAAAGGGGAAAGACGACUUAAUGGACUUCCAGAUGCAAAAGUACACAAGUACCCAAGCGGCCAAAAGAGCGAGCACCAGCUCCACCCUGACUGAUCCCAUCGCCUCUAUGCCCGCACUUUUCUGUAGAACGACUUCUCUGGAAAAAGCACACUUGGUAAAUCCAAAAUAGUGAUGUUGAUAUCAAUUUUAGUUUUCAUUCACAUGCUUCAUUAAUAUAUUGAAUUCACUUUACAGUUUGUAUUAAAAAGUUACAUUUGUGAUCAACUUGAGUUAGGGCAAUCAUUGACUUUGCUGAUUAUAUUUUGAUUUGUGAUUUUGACAUCAUGUGGCCUUUUGAAGAACUCCUAAUGCAGUUCCUUCUAGUCCUUCACUGGUACUGGUUAGGUCCACUGAACUCAUGUGCCCCAGAAAUGCUCGGCUCUAUCUUUGUGGCUACAUGAUAACUACAUAAGACACAUUAAUUACUUUCGCAAGGUGCUCCACGAAGACAUUGAUUGUGUUCUGUGAGAAUUGUGGUAGACACCUUGCAGUAACAAAAAUAAACAAAAGUAGACAGUCAAAUAGUGAAAUGUAUCCAAAACAAAUUAGAUUUUGGUUAUCAACAGAAUUUGGCUUAUUUUGUUUGAUGAUGGAUAUACCAUUCAUCAACACCUUGAAAAAGUUCCCUUACAUUGAUAUUUUAGUUGAGGGACAUCAGUUAUUAUAAUUUUCUUCUGAUUGAUGGUAAAAACGAUCAAGAACUGUCUAUAGAAGGUAAAGGGCAUGGAAUCUUUAGGCCAGCAAGAGAAACGGAGCGCACAUAAAGAAAUUAUGCAGUUCACAGUUAGAAUAUUACGAACUCAAAAUAUUCCUCCGUAGCCGACUUGCUGCCAUUGGGCGCGGUGACGUUGCCGCCAUAAUCAUCAAAGCAAGCGACGGUCCACGUUGCGUUGCAGUUUUUCCAAGGCAGAUCAUCAGUGAAGGACUGAAUCAUGUAAAAUAAGGACCACGCUAUGAUGAUAUUGUAGUAAGUUCCCACCAGGAAGGACAUGACCACUGUUCCCACUCCAGCGCCUGAAAGGAUACCGAACAGAGGAACUGUAAUCGUUCCUUGGAGUAUUUAUGCACGAAAUGAGAGGGAAAAGAGAGUGACAGGGACAUCUGUUUAAAAAAAAAAAAAAAUCACAGAGGAUCUUGAGUGACAUUAACUACUAAAUGAAAACAUGUAAUAUUCUCUUGGCUGUACAUAUAGACAUAGCAAUGUGGCAAUCGAUGGAACUAGUUUACAUGCAUGCUUCCCUGAGAAUGAUAUGACAGGAUGCCAGCCAUACAGUUACCUUUCAGCAAAGGGCAGAGUUUGGCCAGAGCUCCCACAGGGCCUCGUCGCGUGAACUGGCCCACCGUCAGUUCCAUGAGCAGCAGGGGGAUGCCGCACACGAACAGCAUUAUGAAGUAGGGAAUUAGAAAUGCACCUGAUGAAGAUAAUGUCGUUGUAAGUUAAAUGACAGGGCCGAUGGGAACAAACGGUGAAGAAGGUGUGACUUUCUUUCAACAUAUCGCAACUG
rnacentral:lncRNA from 1 species